rnacentral:misc_RNA from 1 species
UUUGGUUGCUAAGAAAAUUUUGGAAACGGAAGCUAAAGUUAAUUCGUUUCUCCUUAUGUUACUAAUUCCUUGACUUUUUCAUUGGAUCUCCUUUCUUUAUAUUAGUUUUUUUUUACGCAACAAGUGUAAUUUUAAUCCAACCAUAGGAGCAAACUAUGAUUUUGCAUACUUGGUUGGAUCUAGACUCUGGAGGUAGCGGUAUGAUUUGUGGAAAUUUAAUUUGCGUAACUAUGAACUGUGAAUGGUUACGAGUACUACUGUAGGAUUUGGCUUCAGUUUAAGGUCAUGCAACUUUCUAGAUUAGAUGACUGUGGAUGGAUCUUAGGCAAGAGCUG